UACGGGGGGUGCGAGCGUUAAUCGGAAUUACUGGGCGUAAAGCGCGCGUAGGCGGUUUGUUAAGUCAGCUGUGAAAGCCCCGGGCUCAACCUGGGAACUGCAGUUGAUACUGGCCGACUGGAGUGCGAGAGAGGGAGGUAGAAUUCCAUGUGUAGCGGUGAAAUGCGUAGAUAUAUGGAGGAAUACCGGUGGCGAAGGCGGCCUCCUGGCUCGACACUGACGCUGAGGUGCGAAAGCGUGGGGAUCAAACAGG
rnacentral:rRNA from 1 species